AAAGAGAAAGGGAAGAGAAGAGAAAAUGCCAGAUCGCCCAGCGAGGCAGGCCUGUACCUGAGCGCCACGCUUCAACUGGAUCUUCUGAAGUGCAGCUCAUUUGGGGGUUAAUUGGUCAAGACCUGCAAAAAAAAAAAGAUGAUUAAUUUGGCGCGUGUUCAUGAUAAAUACGGGGUGAAGAAGUUUUGGGAGGAGAAGAUCGAAAGCCACAUUGAGAGGACGGGAAAUGAAGACUCGAGAAUGAAAAGCAGCGCUUUAUCCAAGUUACGUGAGGAGUGGGUCCAGAGGCUUCAAUUUCGAAACCAGCAUGUGAUCGAGAGCAUGAGAGAGGAACAAAUAAGAAGAGCUCAGAGAGUUCAAGGGAUUUUAGGAGUUUAGAUGGCUUGAAUGAUUUGAGGUCAUUGUUAAAUCCAAAAGCACUUCUCUAACGCAUUUCCUAAGAAUACAUUAUACAUCAGUUUAUUUCUUUAACUUAAAUGACUUAAAUAGUUUUUUGAUGCAGCCUUUGGGACAGAAAGACGCUG